UAUCGGCUCCUUCGCGACGACUAGUUGUAAAUCCCGUCAGGCCCGGAAGGGAGCAGCGGUAGCGGCGAUGUCGGGCGCCGAAGUCCGGCUGGUGCGG
rnacentral:SRP_RNA from 1 species